rnacentral:snRNA from 1 species
AUACUUACCUGGACGGGGUCGACGGCCGAUCAAGAAGGGCCGUGGCCUAGAUCAAUGGCUCACAUUGCACUUGGUGAGCGCGUUGGUUUACCAUCUCCCCAAGUGGGAGAGUGGACGUCAUAAUUUGUGAUAGAGGGGGUACGCGUUCGCGCGGCUCCUG